CUGUCGCGACAACUGAACCACCGCGUGUACGUGCGGGGGAAGACCGGUCGAAAUCCGGCGCUGGCCCGCAACGGUAGGCCGCCCAGAGAAAUCUGCGGCGGCGAGCCCGAAUACCCGUCGUACGCGUGCAUCCGCU
rnacentral:ncRNA from 2 species